UACAGGGGGGGCAAGCGUUGUUCGGAAUUACUGGGCGUAAAGGGCUCGUAGGCGGCCGGCUAAGUCCGACGUGAAAUCCCCAGGCUUAACCUGGGAACUGCGUCGGAUACUGGCGGGCUUGAAUCCGGGAGAGGGAUGCGGAAUUCCAGGUGUAGCGGUGAAAUGCGUAGAUAUCUGGAGGAACACCGGUGGCGAAGGCGGCAUUCUGGACCGACAUUGACGCUGAGGAGCGAAAGCCAGGGGAGCAAACGGG
rnacentral:rRNA from 1 species